rnacentral:misc_RNA from 1 species
UCUAAAAUUUUCUAACAAGUUAACGAUAUUAUUAAAUUUUCAAAAAUUUCAUUCAUAUAUGGGAUACCCAAAUAUUCUUUUGCAGAUAACUAUUCUAAUAAUUCAUUAAUUUCUUUAGCAACAAUAUCAUAUGUGGUCCAAUACUUAAUUAGAAUUUAGAUUUUUUUUAUUUAAAUUAAAUUUAAUGAUCUAAGUAAUAAUUGAUAACUCAAAAUCUUUAAUUGACAUACUUUUUAUGAUUG